rnacentral:rRNA from 1 species
GAUGAACGCUGGCGGCGUGCCUAAUACAUGCAAGUCGAGCGAACGGACGAGAAGCUUGCUUCUCUGAUGUUAGCGGCGGACGGGUGAGUAACACGUGGAUAACCUACCUAUAAGACUGGGAUAACUUCGGGAAACCGGAGCUAAUACCGGAUAAUAUUUUGAACCGCAUGGUUCAAAAGUGAAAGACGGUCUUGCUGUCACUUAUAGAUGGAUCCGCGCUGCAUUAGCUAGUUGGUAAGGUAACGGCUUACCAAGGCAACGAUGCAUAGCCGACCUGAGAGGGUGAUCGGCCACACUGGAACUGAGACACGGUCCAGACUCCUACGGGAGGCAGCAGUAGGGAAUCUUCCGCAAUGGGCGAAAGCCUGACGGAGCAACGCCGCGUGAGUGAUGAAGGUCUUCGGAUCGUAAAACUCUGUUAUUAGGAAAGAACAUAUGUGUAAGUAACUGUGCACAUCUUGACGGUACCUAAUCAGAAUGCCACGGCUAACUACGU